UCGGGGUUGAGGGGUUGAUUCCCGGGACAUUGGGCGGCGCACACGCAGCCGCACAGCUCCUCGUCCCAGCGUUGGCCGACGGGGCACCACUUCCCCUCGCCCUGACCUUCGCACUGACAUUCACCUGCAGGGAAACGGUCUGCUCAGUUUCCAGCCCGGACCGCAGCUGGCCUCAGUGAGCCCGUUUCGACAGACGCACUCGCAGCUGGGCUCCUUCAGAACCCUGUUGGGGCCGCAGAGAGCCAGCAGCCCCGAGUCCAAAGCCUCUGGAAGCCACAGAGGUGAUCUGUUGCGGCUCGUCUGAUGAUGGAGUGAAGCGGCCGCUUGAGGAAGCACUCGCACCUCGUGUGAUUGACGAACGUUACCAUGACAACUGAGCGCUCCUUCCUGAGUGGCGAUAGCUCCAUCAGCUGUGAGGAUGGAGGAGGAGGAAAAGUGGACGUGACUGAGGACAGCUUGCGGACGUAAAGGGGGAAGGGUGCGCGUGAAGCAGGACGCUAAAGACACGUCCCCGGUAAGUAUAUAGUUCCGGUAUGUGCAUCGGUUUGGCUAAGGACCCCCGAAAAUGGCACCUACAAAGAGACGCGCUUAUGAAGCACAGUUUAAACUGCAAGCGUAUUUAGGGUCAUUAUCCGUUUUCAUUGUGAACGCAGAGGAACAUGGUGCAGCUGCAGCCACGAGAGAAUUCAAGAUAAACGAAUCCAUGGUUUGCAAGUGGAGGAAGCAGGAAAACGAGCUUCGCCAAGUCAAGAAGACGAAGCUGAGUUUCCACGGGAAAAAAAAGACAACCAAUACGCUGAAACAAGGCGAGGUGGCCCGAGUUGGAAGACCAACUCGAGCAAAGAACAGCCGGGAGCAGCGUCUCUACAGUCACCAUUCGACUGAGUGCAACAACUCUGAGCUUGCCAUCAUUCCCGAGGCUUGACGAACUGCUGGACAUCCGUGUAAACAGGGCGUUCAAAGUGAAGUUGUGAGCGGUAUGGGAGCCAUGGAUGACAGAUGGUCGAACACCGCUUUACUAAGUCUAGGAGGCAGCGCCGGGCGAGUUCCGCCACAAUUUGUGACUGGAUUGUGGAUCCUGGGGCUAACAUGUCUGCUUGCACUGUUGUUCGAGCUUUCGUAAAAGCCGGCAUCAUUUCUGAGGAGCCGCACGGCAACGAGACUGACUCAGACAAUGACGAGAGGGAACCUAGCGCGUUUGAUGGAGAACUUGUCCAGCUGUUUAUUUCGGAUACAGAAGAUGAGGACUUUGAUUGAUUUGUGGAUGAGGAUUGAUCAAAAAAUAACGUGAGUACAUUGUUAAAUACUUCAAUAAAGUACAACUGAACUCAGUUUUGCUACCGCUGCCUUUUUAAAAACAUUGUUUUAGCGUGCAUGCAUGCUACCGUUUGUUUUAAGCUAGCGUAUGUUUUACCAUGCCUGCGCCCAAUAAUACGGUGCACCUUAUGUCUGUGUUAAAUGCAGAAAUAGACCCUGUAACUGAGACUGCACCUUUUAAUACAGCGUGCCUUAUGGUCGUGAAAAUACGGUACUUGCAAAUAAAAGCCGAAACGGUCAUAUCUUGUUUCCAUCUUUCAAUGUCAACUCACAGGAAUUGUCAUUACUUUUCCAAUAUUUUGGAGCAAAGUAAAGGUCAAGAAGUAUUAUUUCGCUUUUAUACACCCGCAAAAAUGGACCAAAAAAAAUGCAGGCUUUCGGAUUUGAUUGAAGAGGCAUCACAAAAAUUGGGGAUUUACCAUUCAGGAAAUACAGCCGUUUUGUGUAGAGUACAUCCAUUUUCAGGACUCAAUCGUAUUUGAACAAUUGACGUGAUUGGAAAUAUAACUGCAUUUCAAUACAGUGAUAUGAGUCACCCGACUUAAGAGUUUUGCGAGACACAAGCUGUUAAUCGACCGAUUUUUGGGUGUGACUCGAGUACUAACUGCAGAUAAAAGCGGUGUAGGGUGGCAGGUGACUCAACUCACUUCAUAACAACCAUCAGUUUGACAGAUAAAAGUAAAUAUUCAUAAUAUAGAAGAGGGUUCAAGCUGUUUAUUGCCGCUCUCAGCUUAAGAUUACUCAAAGACUUAACAUAAAACAAAGAGAAUUACGCGUGUAUUUAGAACAACUGCAUAGCCUCCACUAGCUUAAUGCUAACAUACAAUGGGAAACACCAUUGGGACACGGGCUAACAAUUAGGAUCUAUGUGGUGGUGUUGUUACUCUUUAAGCGACACAUCUGAACACAAAUCGGUGCAGGAACAUGGAGACAGAUGUGCGCAAGAGUCACAUCGCAGGGUCUGCUGCGAUUUCUGUAAUGUUCUGUAAUAUACAGUGAAUGAACUGUAAUAUUAAAAGCGACCAGCAGAGGCACCUGCAAAUAGAAAGAAUGUACACGCUGCAUUUCCUAUUUAGCUCUUCAGAAUGAAACUACUGAAGGCAUGCUGCACCGGCAGCUUCGUGAGUGUACAAAGUGCGUUCAGGGGAGUGAAUGUGUUCUUUUGUAAUGCAGUACAUAAAUGUAAAAAUGGAUUACUAGGAAAAUUAUUUGCAUCAGAAUGCUGUAGUUAAAACACUGUGAUAGUAUGGAAUUCGUUUUAUAAUAGGACUAUAGAUAAAUUAUUUUCUUAACAUAGUCAGCCGGAGCUGCAAGGAAUGCAAUGCUAUCAAUGUCCUUUCACCAUCGUUCCUGUCAUACUGUGUUGAGUGUUUUUGUUUGCACAUUUGAGGACAAAAGUCUUGUUUUUGUUUUAAUUCCUCUUUUUAAAACACCAUUCAAGCAACAGGUUUUUUUCCUCAUGUUUUUAUACUUGUACAGUGAAAGCUGCAGCUGGCUCAGUGGGUGGCAACAAUGGGAAAAUGAAAUGGCAGUAUUUUGAGGGUCAUAACACAUCAGCUCCGUCCAUCCAUUUUCUGAGCCGCUUCUCCUCACUAGGGUCGCGGGCAUGCUGGAGCCUAUCCCAGCUAUCAUCUUGCAGGAGGCGGGGUACACCGUGAACUGGUUGCCAGCCAAUCGCAUGGCACAUAUAAACAAACAACCAUUUGCAACAUUAACACCUACGGGCAAUUUAGAGUUGUCAUUUAACCUACCAUGCAUGUUUUUGGGAUGUGGGAGGAAACCGGAGUGCCCGGAGAAAACCCACGCAGGCACAGGGAGAACAUGCAAACUCCACACAGGCAGGAUUGAACCCCAGACCUCAGAACUGUGAGGCAGAUGCUCUAACCAGUCGUCCGCCAUCAGCAACAUAUUGAGGGAAAAAAAGAACUAUGAACGAGUUUAUUUUUGGACCGGUAAACGUAGUCCAAUAUUUUGAAUUAUGAACUAUAAACUGAACUAGUUUAUUUUUGGACCGAUGAACUGAACUUUGAACUAGUUUGCAGAGUUUGUGCCUUUCCCAACACUGAUCCUGUAUUAUUUUACAUAGCAAUAUAUAUCGCAGGUUUGGAGAAAAAAAAUUGUUUAUAAGCCAUAAUAUUAUAGUUAUUUUUCCUCAUUAAAAAGUUUUUUUUUUUUUAUGUACUUGUUUACAAUUACAACAAGUUUUGCCAGGCCAUCACCGCAGCUACCUUUCACUUGCUGCCUGUUUGUAGUUCUGCCGGCCUUUACUUUUGUCUGAAGUAAGUGACAGGCAUGCUCAAUUGGCUUGACAUCAGGCCACCGACUGGGCCAUUGGGGAAUAUUCCAUUUAUUUACCUUCAAAAGUCCUCAAUUGCUUUCACAGCGUAUUUAGGGUCAUUAUCCGUUUUCAUUGUGAAGCACAGUCGUAUCGGCUUUGUAGUUGAUUGUGAGCAUAAAGUACACUGCAGUCCUCUACUAUAUACCACACAGUAAUGUGUUUUUAAUAAAACAGCAUUUGAUAAUGUAUUUUAUAAAAACAUAACAAUAACAUAAUUACAUAGAAUCUAAAGAAUUUAACAGUUUGUGCAGCAUAUGAAUUAAUUGUGGCUCCUGCUCCCGUCGUCGUUGCCAUGGAGCAUUCUGCUCUGACCGACCGGGUCAGGUCCGAAGGCAUCUACCCUGCAGCGCCUUUUCUCUUUAAAUGGGCUCUUAUGUCAUCUUAAUGAACAUUGUACAGCACCAGACAAUGUGAUAAAUUUCGCCCACUCGACAUCCAUUGCAGCCUGUUCAUCCUGGAAGGGGAAUCCCCCCCAUCUGCGCUCCCUUCUCAAGGUUUCUUUUUUCCCCCCAUUUGAGGGGGUCUUGUGUUUUUCCUUGCCCGA